rnacentral:tRNA from 1 species
AGUCUUAUAUUCAAAAAUGAUUUUAGAUUGCAAAUCUAAAGGUAAAGUAAACUUUUAAGGCUU